AUCCCAAGAGUCCAGAAUGUUGAGUUAAUUUUUUACAGAGGUUCCCAGAUGUGCUGGGAGACUCACUUAUAGGAGAGCCAGGCAACAUUUUUUUUUUUUUAAGAUUUCAUUUGACCUUUCUUGUAUCUGAUAUGAAACACAUGUUAAAAACAAUACCUGACAAUUAUGAAAUGCAUGUUUUGCGUAAGCAAAAACACCGUGAAUACAUCUCUUACAAAGUUUUGAAAGGCAGAGAUGGAAGGUUUUCGCUGCAAAACUGUAUUAGCAUUUAGCCAAGUUAAUCAUACAUCUCGACGAUGAUUCUUUAUCCCACAUGUCCUUGGUAUUCAGUGGGUAGGUCAUUAGGCCCAUGAAGAAAUAAGUGGGAAAAUGUCCAAGGGAUGAAAAACGUCUAUAUAGCAUGUGGAGAAGUGGAUAGUUUUACCAGGUACUGAAUUUCAGCUUUAAGAGGUGCAGGUUCUGAUCCCAGCCAGAACACUUGAGAGGACUAACUUCUGGGAAGGAAGCAGAAUAACCACGUGAGCCUGUGAACCUUCCAACGAGAUCCUGCGUUAGCUGUUUCUUCUCGCAGAGAGAGAAUGCAACUGGGGGAGAGAAGCAGAAGGAGAGAGAGAGAGAGUGCAUGAGAUGGAGAGACAGGGAGAGGGAAGGAGAGAGAAUCAUAUGCAGGCUCCAUGCUCAUCAAGGAGUUGGACGCAGGGCUUGAUCCCCUGAUGCUGGGACCAUGAACUGAGCUGAAAUCAAGAGUAGGAAACACCACCAACUGAGCCACCAAGGCGCGCCUGUGGUUCAAGAGUUCUACACCUGUUUUCUCAUUUGCUUCCCAUCUUCUCAUUCAGCCCUGUGAAGUGGGCAGCACUGAUUUAUUCUCCAGGGUUGGCAGCCUCCUCUUAAGAAGGAUCAGAAAAACUGAAGACGAUAGGAAAGUAAGCCGGCAUGGAAACUAUUGCCCAGCUGACCGCUUUAUCCCGAGCUUCCUGGGCUUCAAAGAAGCGGCUCAACAAUUUUGAGAAGAAAUACAAUGGUAACGUCAGCGGCUGCGGGAGCCUAACAGACGGAGGUAAGGCAUCCGAAAUACUGAACAGGCCUCCUGGGGCAGACUCCCACCCGGAGCUGCGUAAAGUCUGCUUAAUUAAAUGUGCCUUCUAUUAUGGUCUUUGGUGAUUCACUGAGGAGGAAGAAGAGGCAGUGACCUUGUAUCGAAUCACGGCAAAGGCAAAGACUGCAUGUUAAUUCUCGUGUUGGUAGGAAGGUGUUAAUAACGUCUCCAAGUUGGACGGCUCCUGCCGGAGGACUGACUUCUCUAGGCCUUAAAGACAGCGCCCGGCGCCCCGGCUUUAGCUGUUGGGUGCUGACUAAGCACCUUUCGAGCUGCCUUCAGUUGAAAGACAGAGGAGGCGGAGGAAAUCCUCACUGGGCCAAAUCUAUCCCCUAUGAGAGGGCAGGCUUAAUGAGAAUCGGCCCUGAGCCCUGGCUCGGCAGUGCUUCUGGAAUGCACGUGAUUUACAGCCAGCAGGGGCUGCAGAGUUUUCUGCCUUAGUCUCUCUUUCUCAUGUUUGAAAAACUUGCACGGCCAAAAUUUUAAUUUCAGCUAAUGAAGGCAAAGAGGAAAAGAAAAGAA